rnacentral:antisense_RNA from 1 species
ACAAAAUUUGGUUACUCGUCGCCUCUUACGACAGUUACCACGGUUCAAAAACUUGCCGGUUAUUGAACCUUCGAAAAAACCACCUUGCCGGGUGGUUUUUUCGUUU